rnacentral:tRNA from 1 species
GUUCUAAUAGUUUAUACAAAAUUUUAAGAUGUGGCCUUAAAGAAGAGGUGUCUCUUAGAAUA